rnacentral:rRNA from 1 species
GACGAACGCUGGCGGCGUGCUUAACACAUGCAAGUUGAACGGAAAGGCCCUGCUUUUGUGGGGUGCUCGAGUGGCGAACGGGUGAGUAACACGUGAGUAACCUGCCCUUGACUUUGGGAUAACUUCAGGAAACUGGGGCUAAUACCGGAUAGGAGCUCCUGCUGCAUGGUGGGGGUUGGAAAGUUUCGGCGGUUGGGGAUGGACUCGCGGCUUAUCAGCUUGUUGGUGGGGUAGUGGCUUACCAAGGCUUUGACGGGUAGCCGGCCUGAGAGGGUGACCGGCCACAUUGGGACUGAGAUACGGCCCAGACUCCUACGGAAGGCAGCAGUGGGGAAUAUUGCACAAUGGGCGGAAGCCUGAUGCAGCAACGCCGCGUGCGGGAUGACGGCCUUCGGGUUGUAAACCGCUUUCGCCUGUGACGAAGCGUGAGUGACGGUAAUGGGUAAAGAAGCACCGGCUAACUACGUG